UAACAUAACUCCAUUUUAACGAUCGACUUUUUACCUUCAGAAUUUCGACCAAUCGCGUUUCAGUCGAACGAUUCGCGAUUCUACUAACGGGGAACAUCGAGACAUGUGUAAAACGUCUCGUAGAGAGAACUUAGUAAGACCUUUAAAACGAAAACUUUCUAACGUGUUCGACGUUCCUUUCUCGUGACUCCUUACAACGACCUCUUACCUCUUUGGAUUCGUGUUUCCGAAGGUGGCACUCAAGAAGAGAUAAUCUGGGAUUUCGGAAAGGGGUUUGCCUGCCUUUCCAUUCCAACUUAACGUAAAUCUUCGACAAGUGAAAAUCGUUACGAGAUCGUAUGUGCAUCAUGAUCGAUUUUAUAUCACGAUAAGAACAAUUUCUAAUUCGAAUGGAGAUAAUUUAGAUUCCGUUUUUAAAUAAAACGAUUAUUAAUAAUAUUAUAUAAUUGUUAUUGAUAAUAUUAAUAAUAUAUCAAUCAUGUCAAAUCCAUCGAAUUGCCAAGAGAUUUCAACACGAAAUAGACGAGAAAGAAGGAAAUAUGAUAAUAAAGAACGGACGACUAACGGAACACGAGUGAUCGAAAAAACAUCCUUGACAAAGACACUCAAAUAUUAUUACGACAGAUUCAGAUAUUAUCAUUUUUAUAUCGCAGAUAAAUUGGAUACUAUCAUCGCUGCUAUUUGCUUGUGGAUCAUCAAAUUAUAUUUCUCUUUAAUGGGAUAUGGAUAGAUCAUAAACCAGACCGAAACAAUGAUCGAUGAGUAAUAAAUAAAUUAUCUUAAUAAAUCUUUUUUGAUUAUUCUAUGUAACUUAUUAAUUUUCAUUAAAGAAAAUCUGACGUAAUUAAUCAUCUUCAUUAAACCUA